UACGGAGGAUGCGAGCGUUAUCCGGAUUUAUUGGGUUUAAAGGGUGCGUAGGCGGGCUUUUGAGUCAGCGGUAAAAAUUCGGGGCUCAACCCCGUCCGGCCGUUGAAACUGGGGGUCUCGAGUGGGCGAGAAGAAGGCGGAAUGCGUGGUGUAGCGGUGAAAUGCAUAGAUAUCACGCAGAACCCCGAUUGCGAAGGCAGCCUUCCGGCGCCCUACUGACGCUGAGGCACGAAAGUGCGGGGAUCGAACAGG
rnacentral:rRNA from 1 species